GAUGAACGCUGGCGGCGUGCCUAAUACAUGCAAGUCGAGCGAACAGACGAGGAGCUUGCUCCUCUGACGUUAGCGGCGGACGGGUGAGUAACACGUGGAUAACCUACCUAUAAGACUGGGAUAACUUCGGGAAACCGGAUCUAAUACCGGAUAAUAUAUUGAACCGCAUGGUUCAAUAGUGAAAGACGGUUUUGCUGUCACUUAUAGAUGGAUCCGCGCCGCAUUAGCUAGUUGGUAAGGUAACGGCUUACCAAGGCAACGAUGCGUAUCCGACCUGAGAGGGUGAUCGGCCACACUGGAACUGAGACACGGUCAAGACUCCUACGGGAGGCAGCAGUAGGGAAUCUUCCGCAAUGGGCGAAAGCCUGACGGAGCAACGCCGCGUGAGUGAUGACGGUCUUCGGAUCGUAAAACUCUGUUAUUAGGGAAGAACAAAUGUGUAAGUAACUAUGCACGUCUUGACGGUACCUAAUCAGAAAGCCACGGCUAACUACGUG
rnacentral:rRNA from 1 species